UCUGAAAACAGGAACUUGCCACUUUAAGA
rnacentral:piRNA from 1 species